CGCAGGGGUGGGGACUGAGCCGCUUCCUUAAACGGCGCGGGAGCGGCGGGGCGAGCGGCGGAGCGGGCCCGCACCGCCCCGGUGAGCCGGGCCGCGCCGACCCUCCCGGGACGCGGCCGCAACACGUGGAGCAAACUUUCGAGGGAUGUGCGUCUGCCGCCGGACAGAAACUCCGCCGCAUCGGGAUUGCGCCUUAAUGUUGCCCGGAGCUGCUCGCCUCUGUCUGGAGCAUUUCAACUGCUUUUCUUAAAGCUGAAUUCUGUGUAAACGAGAAGUGACUAGAAACCCUGAACUGAGUCCCAGGUCUCGCUUAACUAUGUAAGGCACACUGACAUACUGACGCUACUCCCGUUAAGGUAUGGUAUGAAUCAGGAACUGUACCAGCUGCCAUGGAAUGAGUGCGUUCCCAUGAAGUCAUCCUGCCGUAGCUAUUGCAGAAUCAUCAACUUCGCUGUGUAAGCAAGCCCUAAAAGACAAUCCUUGUCCCAAUGACUGUGUGACUAGAUAAGAUGAGACAAUGGGCACAAGAAAGGCACCUUACUAUCAGUUAAGGAUACUGUUCAACCAGCUGGGAACAAAGAAAUUUGGGCUGCUCAAGGCCCCACAGGACUGUCCGGGAGUGACCUUCCCUGCGGGCUGAUUCCAGGAACUUGCCAUUUUUGGAACUGUUUGUUUCAGGACUUACUGCUUUGACACCUUUGAUUUCUGAGACUCCCCAUCAUAGGAAGCCCCAGACACUCUGCUCCUCUCCACGAGGAUUUCUUCAUCUAGCAGCUCUCAUGUCUUCAUCUGAUACUGAAACGAGAUCGAAGGGCUUGAGUGUUUCCUUGGCAAGAUGCGUGGAUGGUAUUAGUUUAAUCUGGUCUGCUUCUGAUACCUACCAAGCCAACUGGACCAGCCCCAAUCACCUCAACUGCUAACAGGCUGCAGAGCAACGACCUACUACAGUGGAAUAUUUUUUGUGCUGCGAACAGGAAGAUCGGGAAUGAGGGUUUGUAACUUUUUUGGAUGUGUUUCUAUGUUACAAUUUUAUCUUUAGUAUCACCACCUUACUCAAAGUAAGAAUAUUUAGAUGUUAAAAUAAACACAUUUUUGCUCUGAAAUACUGGGAUAUGCCUCCCCAGCUUCUUCCUAUCUCGGCUUUGCCACUAUGAAGAGAACCCACUCCUGGAUUUUAAAGUUGGAAGGACGAGUCUGAACCUCUAACAGAGGAUGAGUGCAUAGAGCAACUUCUGCAAUUCAUCCUGAAGCCAGGGCCCUGAUGAGUGGAUCUUUUUCCUAAGUGCUAUGGGAACUCUGCCUAUAUAAAUGUCUGACAAGCUGUUCCAGUGCUUUAUACCCUUGGGUCUUGUACCUUGCAGCAAGCUGCAAGUGCCCACUUAUGCAUCUUGUAUAGCCUCUGUGGAUAAAGCCCUUCAUGUAUGUGACUGCAUGUGGUGAAUAGGAGAGCAUGGUGGUUGGUGCUAUUUUUAUCCUAUCUGUUCCCAAAACAGCUCUCCCAGUCACGUAGGUCACACACAUCCCCUCCAGUUGCCAUACUGCCUGUCAGAGUGGAGGGUAGGUGCAGCAGAGGUCUGUAGGGACACUUGGUACCUGGCCAGGGGCUUAUACGCAGGAUCCCUUGUGCAUAUCCUGCAGGUGGGAUCCAGCCCUGCCGGUCCCUCUUUAACACUUCAGGACAUUCUCAGCAGACCCAUGAGUCUGUUUCUCAGUGCCCAGGGUAAGCCACUAAGAUUCCAAGAACAAAUUUGGCUGGUUUGGGUUUUUUUUUUUUUUUUGGAAGUGCAGUCAUUUAGCACCUCCGAUUUGGCUUGGAAAAAUGCAGCAAUACCUAAAAUAAAAGUGUUCUGAAAAGUA